GCGACGUUACCAAUGUUGUAGAGGGGUUGGUCGAUCCCUUAGGCUAGUCAUGUAUGCCUUGUACAGCAGUUUGUUUGGAUGUAAUUCCUUUGAUAAUUUACGUUUGCAUGGGUAUAUACCGCAAACAACAAGAUUUCUGUGAACUAGUUUGGUAGUUGAAGGUUUUCGAGAUUAAUUGUUGACACAAAAUAACCUGACAGUGAAAUGAUAGGCUUUGUGUAAAAGUUAGCGACAUUAGCAUGUUGUAGUGGGUAGGAGCCAGCUAGUAUACAGCAAUCGCUAAAGAUGUGGCCAUUUCGGAAUUCGUGUGGAAUUCUAACGAAGUAUAUAUUGUCUUCAUAAGAAAUAGUUCUCUCAUCCAAAAAACAUUCCCUUGUGAAAGGGCUUUGUGUUGGGGGGGAGGGAGGUGUUAAUAGCCCGCCUGCAUAUAUGAUUCAAGGCAAUUAGCCCUCCUGUUGACACCUUUCGAGUUUCGACACAACAAUGAUGGGGUCAUACAUGUUAAAUGGGAACUUUUUUGUUCAUGAACGACGUGAUUAGCAGCUAAGAGACUCACCUGCAUUUACCAAAACAUGCAUAACAUUGCUGCUUUGUUGUUUAGGAAAGCACAUCUAGGGUACGUCAUGUAGCCUGCCAAACGGAUCCACCAAAGAUAUGCAGUUGGCACGGAGCUUUAUGUGAAAACACUGCGACCUCACUACAAAAGUACAGACACACAGAAAACUGUGCCCUGCACUGAAGUCGGUGUUGGAACCUCAGCUGUGGCCUUCAAAGCAUCACAGCCAUUCCUAACAUCGACACCAAUAAAGAGGAGUAAGAGACCUCACUUGGAGGAGGAAGAGGACAACCCUUUUGAUGGAAGUUCAAGUAUGGACUACGGAGAGCCACAGAAUGCUACCUAUGAUCCUGAUGACUCGGUCACAGUCUUGACUGAGGCAGCAGAUGUGACGUGAGUGACUCAAUAUUUAAUCCAGUGGCGUUUCUACAUUUCUACACUGCCCCACCAGACGCUGUUGUGCAGAAAGCUCAAUACAUUCGUACUUCGUGGCAAAAUAUACAUAUAUAUUUUUUUAUGCAAAGUAGCGUGAAUAUGUGUGUGAAUAAACUUGACUCACAAGCAUUAUAGUCUUGUUUU
rnacentral:lncRNA from 1 species